rnacentral:rRNA from 1 species
UACGGGGGGGGCAAGCGUUGUUCGGAAUUACUGGGCGUAAAGGGCUCGUAGGCGGCCAACUAAGUCGGAUGUGAAAUCCCCAAGCUUAACUUGGGAACUGCAUCCGAUACUGGAUGGCUUGAAUCCGGGAGAGGGAUGCAGAAUUCCAGGUGUAGCGGUGAAAUGCGUAGAUAUGACAUAGAACACCAAUUGCGAAGGCAGCUGGCUACACGAAUAUUGACACUGAUGCACGAAAGCGUGGGGAUCAAACAGG